AGCAGUAGCCGCGGUAAUACGUAGGGUGCAAGCGUUAAUCGGAAUUAUUGGGCGUAAAGCGAGUGCAGACGGUUACUUAAGCCAGAUGUGAAAUCCCCAAGCUUAACUUGGGACGUGCAUUUGAAACUGGGUGACUAGAGUGUGUCAGAGGGAGGUAGAAUUCCACAUGUAGCGGUGGAAUGCGUAGAGAUGUGGAGGAAUACCGAUGGCGAAGGCAGCCUCCUGGGAUAACACUGACGCUCAUGCACGAAAGCGUGGGGAGCAAACAGGAUUAGAUACCCCCGUAGUCCCUGUCUCUUAUAC
rnacentral:rRNA from 1 species